GUGCUCGCUUCAGCAGCACAUAUACAAAAUUGGUAUGAUACAGAGAAGAUUAGCAUGGUCCCUGUGCAAGGAUGACACGCAAAUUCCUUGAUCUUUGAUCAUAUCCA
ensembl:snRNA U6 U6 spliceosomal RNA